AUGAUGAAAAUAGAAGAAAAUAACAAAAAGGGUUGGGCCAACUGUUCCUUCCUUAGACUUGGAUGUAUGGAUUGAUCACAUUUUGGGAGCUCAUGGCCCUUAGUUCCUCAUGGACCAAACAAUGCAUUCACUGGAUUUAUGCUUGUGUAAUCUUGGAAUAUUUCAAUUAUAUUUCUUUUGAUUUGUUACAACGAGUUCUAAAGUAUUGA
rnacentral:lncRNA from 1 species